rnacentral:rRNA from 1 species
ACACUCCUACGGGAGGCAGCAGUGGGGAAUUUUGGACAAUGGGCGAAAGCCUGAUCCAGCAAUGCCGCGUGAGUGAAGAAGGCCUUCGGGUUGUAAAGCUCUUUUGUCAGGGAAGAAACGGUGAGAGCUAAUAUCUUUUGCUAAUGACGGUACCUGAAGAAUAAGCACCGGCUAACUACGUGCCAGCAGCCGCGGUAAUACGUAGGGUGCAAGCGUUAAUCGGAAUUACUGGGCGUAAAGCGUGCGCAGGCGGUUUUGUAAGUCUGAUGUGAAAUCCCCGGGCUCAACCUGGGAAUUGCAUUGGAGACUGCAAGGCUAGAAUCUGGCAGAGGGGGGUAGAAUUCCACGUGUAGCAGUGAAAUGCGUAGAUAUGUGGAGGAACACCGAUGGCGAAGGCAGCCCCCUGGGUCAAGACUGACGCUCAUGCACGAAAGCGUGGGGAGCAAACAGGAUUAGAUACCCCUGUAGUCCCAU